UAACCUGCGGWAGGAUCAUUG
rnacentral:rRNA from 1 species